rnacentral:rRNA from 1 species
GACCCCAUGGAGCUUUAAACCCAACAGCACCCGUUUAUUUUCAUCCUCACAUAAGUUAGGUUAUGCCUGUUUGGUUUUAGGUUGGGGUGACCACGGAGUAUAAAACAACCUCCAUGAAAAAAGGACCAAAAAUCCUUAUUAGAGAAAGACAUUUCUAAAAUUAAUAAAUUAAUUUUUAAUGAUCCGAUAUUCGAUCAACGAACCAAGUUACCCUGGGGAUAACAGCGCAAUCCACUUCAAGAGCUCCUAUCGACAAGUGGGUUUACGACCUCGAUGUUGGAUCAGGGUAUCCUAGUGGUGCAGCAGCUACUAACGGUUCGUUUGUUCAACGAUUAAAACCCU